UACGUAGGGUGCGAGCGCUAAUCGGAAUUACUGGGCGUAAAGCGUGCGCAGGCGGUGAUGUAAGACCGAUGUGAAAUCCCCGGGCUUAACCUGGGAACUGCAUUGGUGACUGCAUCGCUCGAGUAUGGCAGAGGGGGGUAGAAUUCCACGUGUAGCAGUGAAAUGCGUAGAGAUGUGGAGGAGUACCGAUGGCGAAGGCAGCCCCCUGGGUCAAUACUGACGCUCAUGCACGAAAGCGUGGGGAGCAAACAGG
rnacentral:rRNA from 1 species